UCGACUUGAGUUGUUAUUCUAGAUCUUGCUUUGAUUAUGCAUGUUGAGACCAAUUUAUUGAUUUGAUAUACUGAGAUGAUAGAGACACUUAGGUUUUAACCCAUUUAACCUGUAAGAAGUUUACGUAUUGAAUUAACCCUUGUAAACCCCUUUGAUCAUAACAUAUUUUUUAACCCAUUUUUAUUAACCCGUAACCCAUAUGUAUGUUGUAAAAUUAUCCUUGUUAUUG
rnacentral:lncRNA from 1 species